AGCGAACCCUGGCGGCAGGCCUAACACAUGCAAGUCGAACGAACUCUUCGGAGUUAGUGGCGGACGGGUGAGUAACACGUGGGAACGUGCCUUUUGGUUCGGAAUAACUCAGGGAAACUUGUGCUAAUACCGAAUGUGCCCUUCGGGGGAAAGAUUUAUCGCCAUUAGAGCGGCCCGCGUCUGAUUAGCUAGUUGGUGAGGUAACGGCUCACCAAGGCGACGAUCAGUAGCUGGUCUGAGAGGAUGACCAGCCACACUGGGACUGAGACACGGCCCAGACUCCUACGGGAGGCAGCAGUGGGGAAUCUUGCGCAAUGGGCGAAAGCCUGACGCAGCCAUGCCGCGUGAAUGAUGAAGGUCUUAGGAUUGUAAAAUUCUUUCACCGGGGACGAUAAUGACGGUACCCGGAGAAGAAGCCCCGGCUAACUUCGUG
rnacentral:rRNA from 1 species